rnacentral:rRNA from 1 species
AGAGUUUGAUCCUGGCUCAGGACGAACGCUGGCGGCGUGCCUAACACAUGCAAGUCGAACGAGAAUCUGUAGACUGAGGCCUUCGGGUCGACGGAAGCAGAGGACAGUGGCGAACGGGUGAGUAACGCGUGAGGAACCUGCCUUACAGAGGGGGACAACAGCUGGAAACGGCUGCUAAUACCGCAUAAUGUAUCCAAGGGGCAUCCCAUGGAUACCAAAGGAGCAAUCCGCUGAAAGAUGGCCUCGCGUCUGAUUAGAUAGUUGGAGGGGUAACGGCCCACCAAGUCGACGAUCAGUAGCCGGACUGAGAGGUUGAACGGCCACAUUGGGACUGAGAUACGGCCCAGACUCCUACGGGAGGCAGCAGUGGGGAAUAUUGGGCAAUGGGGGAAACCCUGACCCAGCAACGCCGCGUGAAGGAAGAAGGCUUUCGGGUUGUAAACUUCUUUUACCAGGGACGAAGGACGUGACGGUACCUGGAGAAAAAGCCACGGCUAACUACGUGCCAGCAGCCGCGGUAAUACGUAGGUGGCAAGCGUUGUCCGGAUUUACUGGGUGUAAAGGGCGUGUAGGCGGAGCAGCAAGUCAGAUGUGAAAUCUAUGGGCUUAACCCAUAAACUGCAUUUGAAACUGUUGUCCUUGAGUAUCGGAGAGGCAGGCGGAAUUCCUAGUGUAGCGGUGAAAUGCGUAGAUAUUAGGAGGAACACCAGUGGUGAAGGCGGCCUGCUGGACGACAACUGACGCUGAGGCGCGAAAGCGUGGGGAGCAAACAGGAUUAGAUACCCCGGUAGUCCUGGCUGUAAAC